GGUGAACGCUGGCGGCGUGCCUAACACAUGCAAGUCGAGCGGAAAUAGUCUGAAGUAUUCGUACGGAAGGGUAUUUUAGCGGCGGACGGGUGAGUAACACGUGAGCAACCUGCCUUCAGCUGGGGAAUAACAUUGGGAAACCAGUGCUAAUACCGCAUGACAUCACGGGGGGACAUCCCCCUGUGAUCAAAGGAUUUCGAUCCGGCCGAAGAUGGGCUCGCGUCCGAUUAGUUAGUUGGUGAGGUAACGGCUCACCAAGACCGCGAUCGGUAGCCGAACUGAGAGGUUGAUCGGCCACAUUGGGACUGAGACACGGCCCAGACUCCUACGGGAGGCAGCAGUGGGGAAUAUUGGGCAAUGGGGGAAACCCUGACCCAGCAACGCCGCGUGAAGGACGAAGGCCUUCGGGUUGUAAACUUCUUUGAUCAGGGACGAAACAAAUGACGGUACCUGAAGAACAAGCCACGGCUAACUACGUG
rnacentral:rRNA from 1 species